AAAAACCUAUUUAAAAGCUAAUGCCUAAAAAUCAAAAAAAAAAAAAAGAAGAGUAAAUCGCGACCCUUUGGCGCUCGUCGAACCCUCAACAAAGCCCCUAAGGGCUUCGAGGUGUUCAAAACUAGUGGAGACUUCGAUGGCCGUAGAGGGAAAAGCGAUGGGUGCCAGACGCGUGGAGGAAGUCGUGCGGCGGUGGUGGCGCAGGUGGGAGGAGCGGCUAGGGUUUCCCUUUUUCUUUUUGUUUGGCUGAAAGUGUUUCGUUUUGUGGGCUAGGGUUUAGUUAGGCCUGGGGUUAAUUAUUGUUGGGCUAUCAUUGGGUUUGUAUUUGGACUGUUUGGGAUUAAAUGUUUUGGGCUGGUAAAAUUGGGUUUUAUUUUUUUAUUUUUUUUGGUUUUAUAUUUGUAAUUUAGGUCUUGGGCCAAAAUUGGCCUAUUACAAGCACUAAUUGCUUAAAUAGCAUAAUAAGUGAAUAUGUGAAAUUUAAA